CAGAAAUACAAUGUCAGUGUAACAGCGUCUCGUCUCGACUGCAAUUCAAAACCCAGUGGACAGACUUACAUCAACACAGCUCCCUGUGUCCCAACGGGGGUCUCCCUCGUGAUGGACUGCACCAAAAAUGAAGCCCGUGUGUCAUGGAAUGCCAGUCAGGGGGCAGUGUACUACAGUGUCCUUGCUACAAGCAGAUACUAUAACAGUGCUUCCUGUAAUAGCUCUGGUGGCAACACCUGCAUCCUGAAGGGUCUCCCCUGUGGGGCAGCAUACGCGGUCCAGGUGGUGGCUGUUGGAAAUGAGUGCUCGAGUUCACCGAGUCAGACAGUGAACUUUAGUUCAGCUCCAUGCACACCUGUUAUUGUUUCUGCAAACCUGAACUGUAACUCCAGCUCGAUCUCAGUGAACUGGAGUUCUGGAAUGGGC